AGCAUGGCCCUGUCUCCAACGCACUCACCCUCAACCACCUAAAAGAUGUGUAUUUAGACUGGAUGGGGCCAGUCAGAGUCCAUGUGAAGAACUUUUCAAACUGAUUGAUGGAAGACAUUGGAGACCUCUUUACUUGAACUCCCUGCAGACUGAGAAGAAGACACUCAGUUGAUUUGAAGGAAUUCAAAUUGUUUAAGCGAAGGAUUUUUGAAGACUGUGGAUCAUCUUGGAUUUUAUGUAUCCCACUGGGUCUAUCUGAAACUGUGACGUAGCCACAAACAACUACCAGGAAAUGAAACAAAAAUUAAGAUGCAACUGUGUGACAGUGGACAAAAAUAAAACAAAAACAAUAGUAAAGUUAAAAAAAUAAAGCAUUACUAUAGUAUAUAUUGUUAGUAUAGUACAACAGCAGUUGCUUAAUUCAGAAGCCACUUAAAUAGGACACAUGCAACAUUCAGUUACAAAGUGCAAGACUGAGUAGAGGUUUUCCAACUUGUGAUAUAAAUCACUUAAAAAUCUUUUCAACAAUCUAAUUAAAGGAAUUGAGUCAAAUACAUU